rnacentral:rRNA from 1 species
UUUAGUCAGGCAACGAGCGAGACCCGUACCCACAGUUGCCAGCGGCUGCUUCGGCAGGCUGGGUACACUAUGGGGACCGCCUCUGCUAAAGAGGAGGAAGGAGCGGGCGACGGUAGGUCAGUAUGCCCCGAAUUCUCCGGGCUACACGCGGGCUACAAUGGAUGGGACAAUGGGCUCCGACACCGAAAGGUGAAGGCAAUCUCUUAAACCCAUUCUUGGUUCGGAUUGAGGGCUGCAACUCGCCCUCAUGAAGCUGGAAUCCGUAGUAGUCGCGUUUCAACAGAACGCGGUGAAUACGUCCCUGCUCCUUGCACA